ACAUUCAACAGCCGGUCCUCAGCAUCGCUCCUGUGUUGCAAUGCGGGUGCUGCCGCGGCAAAAACCGCCUGAUCCCAUCACACACACACACACACACACAUACACACACACACACACACACACACACACGGACACACACAUCCUCUCCUCCCCAGCUCCGAGGCGCUGCUCCAGAUGUGCAGAGCUGAUUCGGGAUGGAGCUGACUGGGAUGACUGGGAUGCGGUGUUGAUGGGGUGGGAGAGCGCACCUCUGGGGGAAACACUGGGAGCUGGAUGGGAGACGGAGGUGACUACCUGUGGGAGGUUUCUGUAGAUUAAGUUCAGACGUCGACAGAAGGGAAGUUGCCACAGAGGAGCGUUUGUUGUGCGUCAGUGCACUGGAGCCGACAUCCCCUCACAGCUGGAUUUUUAAAUACGCCUUUUUCAUUUUUAAUCUAAACUAAUACAUCUGUUUACAUUUGCUAUCAUGCUUUCCUGUCCAGUGUACCUGGUUAAUUUAAUACGUUUUUAUUGUAGAGUCUCAGCUAUACUUUGGUAAUUGGACUUACUGCGCUUUUGACGCAUGGAGUCAGAUGGAACCGGGGGCUGGCAUUUGAGAAAGGCUUCAAUUUGCUACUAAACUAAACACGUUAUUAAUCUUCAAUGAAAUAUUUCGAAAUGAUUUAUAUACAGCGCCCUCCAUAAUUAUAGGCACCCCUGGCUUGUGUUCUUUAGCUUCUAAUAAAUUGAUUUUUUUUUCUAAUGAUAUAGGACCACAAUAAAAAUAGGAGGAAAAUCCAACCUUUAAUUCAAGUGCAUUUAUUCAGUGGGGAAAAAAAUCACACAUUAAGAAAUAAAUCUUUUACAUCAAAUCACUUGUGCCACAAUUAUUAGCACCCUUGAUCUUAAUACUUUGUACAACCCCCUUUUGCCAACAAAUCAGCACCUAAUCUUCUCCUAUAAUACAUUUUUCAACAAUUUUCAGUGUGAGAGUAUACUGAAAAUUUUUCUACUGAGUCAAAUCCACUCAACUUCAGUUUUACUGAUAUUAUCUCAAGUAAACAAUAAAAUGUUUUCUGAAAAUUUAUCAAAACGCAGUUUGUGCAAAUAAUUUUUUCAAAUGUAAUAUAUCAUUGUUUGAAGGUUUCAGUGCAACUCAAGUUAUUGUUACAGAUCAGAAUCAGAACCAUCAUAAAACUGUGCAUUUUAAGCAGAUGACAAGCUGCGCAGGAUGAGGAGAAAAAAACGUGACACGUGAUUUUGGGGCGCGUCUCCUUAAAUUGAGGACCCGGAAGUCAACCUGUUGUGGUUUGUAUGAAGCAGGUGGGUCAGCGGUUCUUCCCUCACUCACCAAAGUGAUGCGAGUUCAGGACGGUUAUCUCAGGAACUUCUGCUUAAAAGUUGAAUUUACAAGGACGCUGGCUGGAAACGAGUCUUCGGAGUCUGUUAAAGGCCUCAGACGCACAAACGGACCCCGCUCAACUCUGCUGUUUGCGGAUGGUUUUAAAACCUCGUCGGACAGCAUGAGGAGCCCGAAGUGACAGAAUACAGGUGCAGAUACAAAAAUGGCACCAGCAGGGGAAGUCAUCUUCUGCAUUAAACUGUCAAAGUGCCAGCUGUGAAGAGUGUUGGUGAGGCUCAAAAUGUUUGAAGAACGUCGAUGAAAACGCCAAGCUUCACCUCUUAUGAAGAGGAGGUAGACUCUACGAACUGUGAGGACAAUUUAUGUGUAUUUUUGGCCACUGUGCCUUCUAUCCUUUAUUUCCAUUUCAUCUUUCCAUUUGUCUUAAGGUUAGGAUGUGAUCAGUGUGUAACUUUGUUUCCAGGUUGUUCAUCUCCCCGUAGUUUAGCUUAGUGCGAACACUUGCGUCGUCGAUGAUCGCUCUACGGUAAGUCCCGUGUUUACUUCCUUAUUUUAAUGGGUUGUCUCUCCUCGGCCGCCGUGCCGACCUGUUCUGUCUUUCCAACAUGGCCGCCGUGCCGUGUUAUUCGCAUCAUGGCCGCCGUGCCGCUUCUUCAGGCUGUCUCUGUCCAUUCCACGUCAUGCGUCGUCCAGCAUGGCCGCCGAUGCGUAGUUUGAAGCCAUGCUGGAGAAGACAUUUCAUUUCAUUUUGAGCUACACAAAGUAAGUGGUAUCUGUCUUAAACGUUGGUUCUGGUGUUGGCUUUUAUCUUGAGCUCACUUUCUUUCCAACAUGGCCGGCUGCCAACCAGAGGUGUGAAGACCGUCGCAUUUGUUUAGUGUUAGUAGUAUCAUGUUGUACAAAUCCCCUCAUGUGUCUGCUGUAGUAAACUGUCAUCUCCUGUCCCAGCACCUACCUGUUGGUCCAGCUUCUGUCCCUGUUUAUAUCUGCACCUGUCUGUCCAGCAUCACCACGCCCAUCUCUGGUGGCCACACCCCUCUCUGGCUGCUCCACCAUUCUACCCUCACAGUAAUUUACCUCAUCUGGCCAUGAUUUGAUCAUUCAGUCAGACCAUGGUUAAAUUUCAUCUCUAUUGACUUGACGAACAAAUGGUGUGUCCAAACAAAACUAAGGACAACUGCUUUUAUUGAAAUGUUUUAAACACAAGAGAAAACUUUUUUUUUUUUUUUUU